rnacentral:rRNA from 1 species
UACGAAGGGGGCUAGCGUUGCUCGGAAUUACUGGGCGUAAAGGGCGCGUAGGCGGACAGUUUAGUCAGAGGUGAAAGCCCAGGGCUCAACCUUGGAAUUGCCUUUGAUACUGGCUGUCUUGAGUUCGGGAGGGGUGAGUGGAAUGCCGAGUGUAGAGGUGAAAUUCGUAGAUAUUCGGCGGAACACCAGUGGCGAAGGCGGCUCACUGGCCCGAUACUGACGCUGAGGUGCGAAAGCGUGGGGAGCAAACAGG